rnacentral:tRNA from 1 species
UAUAUUUUGUUGUAUGAUGCAUUAAAGUUUUUGAUACUUUAAGUAAUAGUUUAAUUCUAUUAAAUAUAA